GUGUCCAUAGAAAAGGUCUUAGAUCUUUGAGUUUAGCUCAUGAAAAAUGGGAGCAAAAACAAAAGUGUUGCGUUUACAUUUUUGUUCAGUAUAAAUUAUUGUUGUCCGAGAUAAAUCUCAGGGAGCCCUACUGACUCAAUGCAGAACUUCAAAUCGAUAAAAUUUUGCUGCUGUGCAGUUCUUUUUUCAACCAACAGAUGGUUCCCAAGUCAUGUUGGAUCGUUCCUAUCACUACCAACAAACAAUAAGCCAAUCUAGAGUUGUUACAUAAGCAUAAACAGGCUCUCAAGUUCAGCAAAUAUGAUUGGUCAGUUGUUGGUCAAUAAAUCUUAAAUAGUCUGGCAUUCAUCAUUUUGAGCUUCUGACCCUAUUAAACACGCCUGAUAACAACGGCUGGCUAAGAGUUCUGCUCACAGAUGCACACCCACGCUCCGACACACAGGCUUAUCAUUAACUGCUGCUGGAUUAGAAUGUGUUGUUGGACCUGAAUGCAGCUUAAAUCUGAUUGAAGAUCAGCGUCACGGCUUGAGUUGGACCCAAAGGUCAGAAAAACAAGAGAAAGAGGGCCAGCUGAGAGGGAGGAUGGUGUAAAACAAACUAACUGCAGCCUAGUGUACAUGUACAUACUUCAUAUUCUGUAAUAUCCAAGUGUUGCUCAAACCAGUGCUCAUGCAGUGUGAUCAUCCACGAUUUAACAUGCACACCGUUCACGGCCACAUUAUUGUGCAACAAGACAAACACCUUGAAACUGUAGAUUUACAUGCUGUCUGUUCCUUGUGUUCAGUUCAGUUAUUUCAGUUUUUGGGCCGAGUAGCAAAACAAAUCAAUAAAAUUUGACAUUGAGGGCAGUGCCUCUGGAUUGGCAGACAGGGGUGGCAGUCCCCCUUUUUAAGAAGCGGGACCGGAGGGUGUGUUCCAACUAUAGGGGGUGUCACUCUACUUAGCCCCACUGGUAAGGUCUAUUUAGGGGUCCUAGAGAAGAGGGUCCUUCAGAUUGUCAAACCUCAGAUUCAGAAGGAACAAUGUGGUUUUUGUCCUGGUCCUGGAAUUGUGGACCAGUUCUACAUCCUCAGCAGGAUCCUUGAGGGUGCAUGGGAAUUUGCCCAACAAGUCCACAUGUGCUUUGUGAACUCGGAAACGAUUUAACCAUGUCCCCUGGGAAGCCCUGUGGGGGGUGCUCCAUAUGGGGUAGCAUGGGGUAUCAGACACUCUGAUAAGGACUGUUCAUUCCCCAUACGACUGGUGCCAUAGUUUGGUCUGCAUAGUCAGUAGGACUCAUUUCCAGUGAGAGUUGGACUCCACCAGAGCUACCCUUUGUCACUCAUUCUGUUCAUAACUUUAAAUGGCAGAAUUUCUAGGUGCAGCUAGUUCAGGUUCGGUCGCCUGAGGAUUGAGUCACUGCUUUUUGCAGAUGACGUAGUCCUGUUGGCUACAUCAGGCUGUGACCUUCAGCUCUGACUGGAUCGGUUCGCAACCAAGUGUGAGGCAGCUCGGAUGAGAAACAGCACCUCCAAAUAUGAGUCCAUGGUUCUCAGCCAGAAAAGGGUGGAGUGCCCUCUCCAGGUCAGGUAUGAGAUCCUGCCUCAAGUGGAGGAGUUCAAGUAUCUCGGGGUCUUGUUCAGAAGUGAGGGAAGAAUGGAACUGGAGAUCGACAGGUGGAUUGGUGCCACUUCAGCAGUGCUGAAAGGCAAAGCUCUCGACAUAGUGGUCGAUCUACGCUCCUACCCUCACCUGUGGUCAGGAGCUGUGGGUAGUGACUUAAAGAACAAGAUCCUGGGUACAAACGGCCGAAAUGAGUUUCCCCCAGAAGAUGGUUGGACUCUCCCUUUCAGACAGGGUGAGAAGCUUGGUCAUCCAGAAGCAGCUGCCCCCCCUGCAUUGAGAGGAGUCCAAUGAGGUGGCUUGGGCAUCUAAUCAGGAUGCCUCCUAGACCCCUCACUGGUGAGGUGUUCAGGGCACGCCCUAUUGGUAGGAGACCACGGGAAAGACUCAGGACAUGCUGCAGAGGACAUGCUACUACGAAGUGGCUAGGGGGAGGAAAGUGUGGGCUUCCCUGGGUAAGUGGUAGAGGAUGGACAGGUGGAAUACUCACAUGACUUCUGCUGAUGAUUCAGUGGGUAUGCAGUCCCUUGACGAGCAUUUUGUGGACAGAAGUGAUGAAGCAGGACUUUCUCUGCAAUGACCUGAUAGCUAAUAUGAGGAGCAGUACACACGUAGCCUUGUUGCUAAAAUAAGUUUAAAGUAAACCUGUAUGUUUAACUUUAUCACCUCUCCAGAGAUAUUUACGGUCAUUACACACUUUCAACCAACUGUUGGUCUCAUAAUGUUUGGAAAUCAUUGCUCGGUUGCAAAUUAGUACAGGCCUUUUCACAGAGGAGCUUUUUGAGUAAUCACAGCAGGCAAACCACCGAUGCUGUUGAUGGUUACUGCACACACAUCCUUAUAUUUAUCUGAUCACAGAAAAGUCUUCGGCUAAUGACACAUCCAGUGUCUGUUUUAUUGCAACAGACACGUUGCAUUGCUCUUUAUAAAGUCUGUCUGUACCUCACAGAGGCAUUGAGUAAUCCUUGACUUUUAUUAACCGUUGUUGGUAACUUGCAGAAAUUGCAGCAAUCCUGAAGUCUGUGUAAGAGCAUAAAGAAGCCAGACGUUUGUGCAACACCACCGGCUUGACAUUGCAGAUUCAUAGUUUGGAGUGUGUUUGUGGUGUUUCAUUAAUCACAAUGAGGAUUUACACUGAAGCAUAUGUGUCAGGUGCAGGGUCUAUUUUGCACCUGUGAGCUGCCAUGGAGUGAGAGCAGAGUUGAUUGGGUGUUAGAGGGAUAUUUAAGAAGUGCAGAGCAAACUGUUACACAUCAUUAACUUGGCUCCACUUAUUAGUAAUGAGCUCACGACCAUGCCUGGAGAGAUUUAUUUGGUUCAAAGACUCAGUUCACAUCUGCUAGUAACAUCGCACCGACUCACGUCAUGGUAACACAAUCACUCCUCGAGAAAGUGAGAGAUGCUGAGGGGGAGAAGGAGACAGUGAUGUAGAAAUGGGGCAAAGGGCGCAGGACUAAUCCUCUAGACAGCAUCACUCUCAUCCCUGCAGACCAAGCCUGUAAUCUGUGUGCUGGAUGGAGACACCCCACAGAGACUGUCUCUGGCUUUUGGCUCCAGCUGUUUGAUGGCUGGAUUGAGAGGUCAAGUGAGAUCAAAUGUGCUGCUCGGUCUGUUGUACAACAGAGUUGGCCUAAUAAAGAUGCAGUUACAGUAAUCCUUUCUGUAAAAGCCCCCUGCAGAACCUGGGCAAGCCUUUUACCCUCUAUUUGUCUGGAGAUAAUGUGGGUUUGAGGGAAAGGAAAAGAGGGAAUAAGGGAGUCAACCCUUCCUGCCACUCAUUCCCCUUUAUUGCUUGUGUUUUGUUCUGGUUGCUCCCUGAUUUUCACAUCAGUGAUAUAGUUAAACAUGUUCAUAUCAUGCUAUUUUGAGUUUCAUGUUAAUAUUCAGAGAUCACAUUGACCCUUAGGAGUCAACUGUGAAAAAGCACUCUGUAUGUAUUCAUUUCAUCCCC